rnacentral:RNase_P_RNA from 1 species
GGAUCGCGCUUCGAAAGAAGUGAGGAAAGUCCGAGCUCCACAGGGCAGGAUGCUGGAUAACGUCCAGUAGAGGUGACUCUCAGGAAAGUGCAGCAGAAAAUAAACCGCCAUAUUUCCUAUGGUAAGGGUGAAACGGCGAGGUAAGAGCUCACCGCCUUUCUGGUGACAGAAAGGGUCAAUGUAAACCCCAUCCGGAGCAAGACCAAACAGAAGGCCAUACGGCUGCCCGUCGUGCCUUCGGGUAGGUCGCUGGAGGCUGGUGGCAACAUCAGUCCAAGAUAGAUGAUUCUCCAAUGACAGAACUCGGCUUAUCGGAAGACUC